AUUGAACGCUGGCGGCAGGCCUAACACAUGCAAGUCGAGCGGAGCGGCGGACGGGUGAGUAAUGCCUAGGAAUCUGCCUGGUAGUGGGGGAUAACGUCCGGAAACGGGCGCUAAUACCGCAUACUAUCAGAUGAGCCUAGGUCGGAUUAGCUAGUAGGUGGGGUAACGGCUCACCUAGGCGACGAUCCCUAGCUGGUCUGAGAGGAUGACCAGCCACACUGUAACUGAGACACGGUCCAGACGCCCACGGGAGGCAGCAGGGGGGAAUAUUGCAAAAUGGUCUCAAGCCGGAUGCAGCCAUGCCGCGUGGGUGAAAAAGGCCUUCGGGUGUUAAGGCACGUUCAGCGGGGAGGCGUUACCCGCAGAAGAAGCACCGGCGAACUCCGUGCCAGCAGCCGCGGUAAUUC
rnacentral:rRNA from 1 species